GUGCUCGCUUUGGCAGCACAUAUACUAAAAUUGGAAAGAUACAGAGAAGAUUAGCAUGGCCCCUGCGCAAGGAUGAUACACAAAUUAGUGAAGCAUUCCAUAUUUUU
ensembl:snRNA U6 U6 spliceosomal RNA